UUAUUAAAAAAAAAAAAAAAUAAUAAAACUAGUUUCGUGAUAAGAUACAAUAAAAAAGAUAAAAAAUCCAAAGACAGGUGGCCUAAACUCAAAAUAUCUAUUUUUUAAUGCUUUUGUUUAGUGCGGUUGCCAUAAAAAAAAUAUGCAUUCAUCUGUUGAUUUAAUUCAAAAAAUAAAAUGAUUAAAAACAAUUUAUAGAUACUUUAUAGCAAGCCAAGUCGGCAGGCAGGCAAUUAACCGGAGUUCAAAUGUGAUAAAAGCAACCGACCAUAAGUGAUGAUGAGUGAUGGAUGCGGUUGAUGGGUGCGGUAUUUAAUUAUAUUUUACAAAUUGGAAUAAAUCGUCAUUCAUCAAUUCCAUAAUUGUAUGCAACCAAAUGGACCAUUUGACCAUUUUUUUUCCCGAGUCUUUCUUUUGUUUUUUUUUUUUUUGUUGUUGCCAUUUUUGUAUGUAAUUGCAUCGUAACUUGGUAGAAUAAAUACAAGCAAAUUGUGUUGUUGUUGUUGUUUUUGUAAUGAAACUUGGACCGGAAAAUACCACAUAAAUAUAUCUACGAUCCACUACCGCACCGGAAGCUUGGGACCACAAGUUGGAAUACCUUUAUAUGGACGUAGGAGGCUUAUCGCUAAAUUUGAAGAGAAAAAAAAAAUAAAUAACGAUUCCUGGAGUUGCGGUUGUGGAAAGGACAUUUUGAUCCUUUAUCCAUAAAUAUUCAUUAAUUUAAAGAUCGAAAAUAAAAACAACAAGAAUCACCGCAAAGCCGGUGCUACUGUUUUAUUUAAUUAGAAACAAAUGAAAAUGUCGAAAAAACACUUCUACAUAGAAAUGAUGAAAAAAACAAAAACAAUUACAAUUACAAUAAUAACAACAACAACAAUAUCAUCAUCAUCGACCGACGCGACGCCAUCGGAGAAAAACAUCAGAAAGAAGUUAAAUAAAGGAAAAACAAAUAAUAAGUGUGUGUAAUAUUUUUUUAUCGACGACAACGCUGCUGCCGAGGGCCGCCCCAACGACAAAAGCGACGACGAGAUACUUUUGCGUGUGGUGCACGAUUAAAAUUAGAAAAAGAAGAAAAAAAAAAUAAAACAAAAACAAAAAAAAAAGUAUCUACAGGUUUGCUGAUUUUUUUAUUCGUAAUUUUUUUUGGUUGAUGAUUCUACUUCGUUUGCCAAUGUAUCUCAUAAUAAUCUUGCGGUCUAAUAAGGCGAAACCAAUGUGUUACUGAAUACCGCUUUCAACGGUUUUUUAUCAAAAAUAUUUAAAAAAAAUGUCUCCCCCGUUACCAAUUUGUGAUAGAAUUUGUUAAUACGGAAAAGAAAACUACGAAUUUAGGGGCGGAAAAUAUUGUUUUUAAUUAAAAAAAAAAAUAGAGAGAAAAAAAAUUUAAUCGUGAUUAGUGCUGAAUUUUACUCUCAAAUUAGAAGUCCAUGUAAAUGAAUCCUUUCCUUAAUUUAUUCAAAAAAGUGAAGUUCUAACUUAUUAAUUCCAAAAGUUAUAAGAGAAAAAGGAUACAAAAAAUACCUACAGCAUCCUUUUAACUCUUCGGAAUGAGUAUCCAUGAAGUUUUAGUGUGCAAAUUACGAAAAUUUUAAAAAUUCAAAAUGGAAAAUUUAGAUCUCAGUGAGUUGGUGCGUUUGGUCGAGGAUGUGGAUGGCGGUGAAAUUAUGCGCUCCGAAUUAGUUCGAGCUGCUGUUAACAAAAGUGCAGAAAUGCAAUGUCUGUUGCAGCAAUCUGAAGAGAAUAAGGAUCCAAGUAGUGCAAUUGCAGGAUGUCCGAUAUCCUUUGAUUCAGUUCUAUGUUGGCCAAGAACACCUCCAGGCGUGCUGGCCAUUUUGCCGUGUUUCGAAGAAUUCAAAGGCAUCCAGUAUGAUAGUACACAAAAUGCAACAAGACUUUGUUUCCACAAUGGAACGUGGGCCAAUUACACAAACUAUGACAAAUGUCACCAUGCACCUCCGUCACCAAUACCAGACUUCUCACCCAGCAUAGAAUUGCCAUCACUUAUCUAUUGUUCGGGAUAUUUUUUAAGUCUAUUAGCUUUAACUUUAGCCUUAAUUGUUUUUCUUUACUUUAAAGACUUAAAAUGCCUUCGGAAUACAAUUCAUGCGAAUUUAUUUUUAACAUAUAUUUUAUCAGCGCUCUUAUGGAUUUUAACAUUAUUCCUUCAAGUUAUGACGGAUCAUCCCAGCCAAUCAGGAUGCAUAACCUUAGUUGUACUUUUUCACUACUUCAAUUUAACGAAUUUCUUUUGGAUGUUUGUCGAAGGACUCUACCUAUAUACGCUGGUGGUGCAGACAUUUUCCAGCGAUAAUAUUUAUUUUGCGAUGUACGCGUUCAUUGGAUGGGGUUGUCCAGCCAUUAUUGUGUUAGUGUGGUCAAUAGCAAAAAUCUAUUCACCACCACUUGAGACUGAACGAUUUAAUGGGGUAAGUCCGUUUAUUGGUUCACUGAAGCUGGAAAUUGAAUGCUCAUGGAUGCGAGAGUCCCACAUCGAUUGGAUAUUCCAGGGACCAGCUUGUCUUGUUAUUUUGCUGAAUUUGAUUUUUCUCUUUCGUAUCAUGUGGGUACUUAUCACAAAACUGCGGUCAGCUAAUACCCAAGAAACCCGACAGUAUCGUAAGGCUUCAAAGGCUUUACUUGUCCUUAUACCUUUGUUAGGUAUAACCUAUUUGCUGGUGCUCUAUGGACCCGAAAAUGGUCUCGAGCGACAUGUUUUCGAAAUUCUACGAGCUUUUCUCAUUAGCACACAGGGAUUUUCUGUUUCCUUUUUCUACUGUUUUCUGAAUUCAGAAGUGAGAUUAGCACUACGGCAUCGAUUCGAACGGUGGCACGAUGCAAGAAAUAUAAGUUCGGAGCAAUCAAUGCGAAAUAGAAGAUACAGAUUUUCAAAGGACUAUUCUCUACGAUCAAGAACUGAGAGUUUACGGUGAGGGGAUGAGUUUUUUUUAUAAACAAAAACAAAUUUUAAGAAAAAAAACUUUGCUCGUGAUACCUUUUUUAUAUGUUCUAACAUCGACAAGUCCUGUGCCCGCAGCAAACAAUGAAUAAAAUUUGCACGAGAUAUUGUUCCUAUAAAAUUUACAAUUAAAUUUUGUUUUAAGACAUAUAACUCUUUUUCUACAUAAUUAUAAUAAAAACCAAAUACAUCGGUCCAUAUUUGUUAUAUAUAUAUACUUAUUUAUUUCUUUUUUUCUUAAAGAAUAAAUGUUAUAAUUUUUUUUUUAUAA